CCUUCUUAAAGACAUAGCUACACAGCCCUGCAGCGGGUGCUGGAGCCGUGGAGAUCGAGUGGGGAUGGAGCAUCCUGCCAGCCAGCCGGCGUCUGUGCGGUGAGUCUGAGAGCCACAGCAAGGGAUGAGAUUGGCGGAGAGGAGAUGGCAUCCACCACCUCUGCUGUCAGCUGUGCCAGCCUGUGUGGGUGCUGUGGGCAGUGCCAGCUGACCCUCCUGUAAUUAACAGGGGUCAGGCAGCCAGGUGAAGGUUUCCUGCCGCUGGCAGCACCCAUGGCUGUCGGGGAGGUGGCUGUGCAUCCCCCCCUGCCCUUGGCUGGGGUCCCAGUGCAGCAGGAAGGGAGCUGGUCCCACGCAGGCAGAGCUUGCAGGUGGCCUCGGCAGCCCACGCUCUGCCUGACAGCCAGGACCACCCGGGAGGCUGUGCUGCAGCUGUGGGGAGGGAACACCCGGGGGAUGGCCACCCCAUGCUGGCUAUGCCAUGGGGAUCUGCUCUCCCUGCUCGCAGCUACCUGAGAGGCCCUGGGGACGGCUGUGACUGGAUGGUGAUGGACCUCUCCCUGUGCAGUGGAGAGGUGUGGGCAUUGGGCAGCCAUGGCCACAGCAGCCAGCUGGGAGGGAUGGGAAAGCACUGGAGCAAAAUCCUGACACAGGGGGAGGUGAUCUCAGGGCUGACCCCACAGUCCCCCAUUUCCACAGAGCACAGACCAAGCACAAGACAACUCAGGAGUGCCCUUCCAAAAGCACUGACAGCACAGAUCCUGGCCCCCUCAGCAAGCCAGGAGCCCCCACCUCUGCAGCAGACACACGUGUGCACACUCAGAAUACGUGUACAGAAUCACACAUGUGUGCACACUCAGACGUGUACAGAAUCACACACGUGUGCACACUCAGAUAUGUACAGAAUCACACACGUGUGCACACUCAGAUAUGUACAGAAUCACACACAUGUGCACACUCAGACAUGUACAGAAUAACAGACGUGUGCACACUCAGACAUGUACAGAAUCACACACGUGUGCACACUCAGAUAUGUACAGAAUCACACACAUGUGCACACUCAGACAUGUACAGAAUCACAGACACAUGUGUGCAAGGGGGGUUUGCUCUGCACUGGGAUGUGCAGUGCCCUGCUGUCCCCUUCCUCCUGCCUGGCUAUGGGGACACUGAGUCAGGAUCCAAGCUCACAGUGGGGCCAUGCUGCUCCAUAUGGAUGCAGCCGGCCACUCAGGGUGCCAGGAAGGGAGGAAAUGGCCUCUCACAGCCACUUUCUGGGUAACAGGUGGAAUUACCUUUUUCCCUCUCUGCUUUGAUCUGCCAUUAAUUAACUCAAGGAGUAAUGAUCCUCCCCUGAUCUCUGCCCUGCCCACCCCAUUCAGUCUCCCCGUGCCAUGCAGCUCCAUGUUGGCUCCUGGAGCCGUCCCCAGCUGCCAGACUGUGCUGUGCCAGGCUGGCAUCUGUGUGGGGUCAGGCUCCAGCAGACAGACAGGGGACGGUCACCCCCGUGUUGAUGGGUACUCCCGCAGAGCCACACGCCUGCCGCUGCCCAAGGUGCCAGCCUGAUUCCCUGCCAGGCAUCCCGGUGCCAAGGUGGGCAGGCAGCGGGAGAGCAAGAGGGGGAUGGCAGAACCCGCUGGCACAGCUAAGGAGAAGAUUCUCCCUGCCAGCAUCCUUGGCCUGUUGGGCGCUGCGCCAGCUCCUGCUCAAUCCAGACUUUGUGCUGGCAGCCUGGAGCUCCUGUGCACGCGCGGGGACUGGCGUGUGGCCAGCCCUGUGCCAGCACCUGCAGGGCAAUGGGCACAGGGCUGGGCACCCAGGAGUGCAGACCAGGCUGGGAGCUGGAUACGCACCCCCAAAGGACUGCUGGGUUCCUCAGCAGCCAGGUGGGUCCCUGGUGGGUUCCUGUGCCCCUCCUCAAGGGUCAUCUGCUCCCCAAAGCACAGCCCGCAGCCACUGGUGCCUCAAUGCAUGGAUAACUUGCACAGGUGCCAUGGGGAGCCAUCCUGCAUCCCACCUCUGCCUCCAUGGAGCACCACGGAGCUCCCUACAGCUGGAGGAGCGGCUGCCAAGGCACGCUGCAGCGCUUGCUUCCACACGAGGGGAACGCAUCCCACAUGCUGACUUAGGAUGAUGCAGACUCCAAGGAGACACAUAGUUGAAGCCAAUCCAUGUUCCUGGUCUGUAAGUGCUGCCAUAUUCCCAGCCAAAGUGAGGCUGUAAGUGCUUCCUAGGAAGAACCAGGAACACUGUGCUCGUGGAGUUCCUGCUAAGCUUGCUCUGCAGAGAUGGGUCCAGGAGGAGCAGCCAGAAACACCAGGGGUGUCUGAGGCUGCGAGGGAACAGCAGUGGCUGUACUCCCUCGUGCCUUCAUGCAGUUCUUACUGGGCAAGGGGGGUCCUGAGGACCUGCUCUCCCCCAGGGACCUGCUGCCCCUGAGGGCCACAGCUCAGCUCCUGAGCAAGGGCCACGGCUCAGCUCUCACGUGAAUCCUUCCAAAACACCACCCAAGGGUGAAAACACAUUUUUUUGAAUGAGUGAUUAGAUCCAUCCAGGCAGGAAUCUCAGCCCUGAAAAAUCCCAGCAGGGUGGGAGAGAGGUUGCAACAAUGAGCUGGAGAUGCUAUCCUCAACAUCAGCUCUGAGGAUGUCCCACGUGUCCCCCCUCACCAUGGUCACACUCUGCAGGAACCCCACACCCACGGGCAGGGGAGCCAGGGGAAACUGUGGAGGUUGGAAAAGCCCAGACAGGGCUGCCCAUUCCUCGCAGGAACAUCAGCCUGCAGCACACAUUUUCAGGGAGUGGCCAUCAGCCCGCUGCUGAACAUGGCUUUCAUCCAGAGCAGGCUGAUGGGGGCCGUGCCUUAUCCAUCCAUCCAUCCAUCCAUCCAUCCACCUCUCCGGAGCCAUCAGACGGUUCCUGUUAAGAGGAGGGUGUGGCUCCUCUCCUCUCCUCCGGCAGCCAAGCCUUGGUCAGCAUCCCACUUCCCACCCACACCAGCAGCCUGGGGAGACGUGCUCGCCCCUCUGACACUGCAGUCACCACUGGCUCGGGGAAAUGCAAGCAAAGAAAACGUCUUGGAGGUCUGGGAGGGUUUUGGGAGCUGCUCUGCCCUGCAGAGGAGGCUGUGGUGGGUUGUGGCUGGGAUGAGCAGCGCUGGGCUCCUGAGCCGAGGGGGCCCCACAAGCCCCUUUAGCACUACUGAGAGGCUUUGGCACUUCUGUGGGAUGAACAACCCUCACCCCACACUGGCCACAGCCUGUCCUGUGGCUAAGAAAGCUCCAAGAGCCAUUUCACAGGGGUGGUUGUGGCCAUGGCAGGCCAGGGCUGCUUGGGAAGAGAGCAUCAGGGUGAACUGGGACCAUGUCUCACUCCAAACCGACACCUCUUGUCCCCUGAAUUUGGGACAUGUCCUUCCCGUGGUCCUGCAGUGAAAGCCCUGCACUAUUCCUGGCACUUUGUUCUAACUUGAAGGGCACUGACCCCAUGGACAGGUGCUGACAAGGGCAGCUGUGGGGUCAAAGGAGUGGGGCUCAGGCAGGUUCAUGUGGGUGAGCCUUGGGACUGCAGUUACAGCUGCAGUAACCCCUGCCCCUGUCCCCUGUCCCAGGGACUGAAGGACUGACAGCCACUUCAGCCUGGCAGGAAACUCCAGCAUGUCAGAAGGUGUUUUUUUCUUGCUUUCAUUCCCUUUUUUAAAAAUCCAGUCUCAGAAUAUGGGGGAAAACAUCUGUGCUAGCUCAGUAAGGGAAGAGCUGAGCAGAGGACGUGGGGAGCAGCAGCCCUGGCUGGCCGACAGCUCUGUCUUUCUCCAUGGCUGGUUUCAGAGAAGGCUGGGAGGUCAGAGGAUGGGAACGCUGCACAUUUCAGCAGGAGCAGUAAACAGCUGCUCCUGCCAGCACAGCCUGGGGUUCCUUCCAGAGAACCGUCCUGCAGCUCUUCAGGGGCUGCACCUUGAAUAGCUCUCGGUGCUGGCCCCUUCCUCUGCUUCGCUGACAUUUAUUCUGGAGCUGCAGGGUCCCGAAGAGGAGAUUGAGCUGUACUGGCACGUGUCACCCUCCAGGACGUGGCUGUGCCAGUGGCAGUGGGACAGGAGCCUGGUCCCUGCUCUGCUCUGGCCACAGUGGGACCCUGCACCCAGCCGUGGCAUCCUUGGCUGGCUGCACAAGGGCUGAGGGAUGCCCCCAGCUCCUGGUGACAGCUCCCUGCUCCCUCCAUGGCCGGUGAAUAAGAGCAGAGGAAUCCAACAGCCCUUGGCUGCAGUCUCCUGCUGGAAACAGCCACACCGCCUCGUCGGACAAGUGUUUCCCCAGCCCUUUGCUGUGUGAUUUCCACUAGCAUCUCCCUUUCCUGAGGAGGACGAAGCAGCUCCCUCAGCUCACAGCCUCUGGAAACUCCAAUGGACGUGUCCUUCUGCACCGUGGUGACCUGAACUCCCCAGCCAUGGGGUGAGGAGCCCCAUGGUUUUUGAAUCUCUCUAAACCUGUCUGGUAGGAGCCAAAACCAGGCAAAGGUUGUGACCCAGCUCAGGGUGCCCAAAUCUGGGAGCUGGCCAAAGGACCAUUCUUGGGCAGGGCAAACCAUCACAGGCCCAUGGGAGCUGAAGUCAGGUCAUUUGUGAGGGCUGGACAGCCACCCCCAUGCCCUGCCUGCACUGCAGCUGGGCUUUGGUCAUGCCUGGAGCAUUUCUACUUCCUGAAAACUGUCUGGUCCCCAUCUUGUGGCCUCAGAGGAGCUAAAGGAUGGAACUACUCCAGCCCAGGAUGAUGUUGAGUCUGCAGCAAGGACAUGCUGUGGCUGGUGCUGGGCUGGUGUCAUCUCCAGCCCUGCCUGGGAGGCACCUGCUGGAUCUCCAGCCUGAUCCAUCCCUGUCCUUACAAGCUGGCCAGACAGGCUGUGACAUGUCACCUGGACCCACACUGGCAAGGUAGAAGCUGUGCCAGGGCAUGACUGGUCCUGGGUGAGCUCCCCUAGAGCAUCUUCUAUGGGCUUCAAUUCAAUUUUAAGAGAAGAAUUGUGAUUUUUGCCAUUGGAUCCUCUUCAAUAAAUGAAACCAGAGGAGAAAAUAAGCCCCAAAUGCAGCGCGGGGCACUGUUAAGUGUUUGCUCCUCACUCCUGGGUCCCUGCUGUGCUGCAGCUCAGUGGGAAGUGUCCUCUCAAGCCCUGGGCAGCCACCACUCUUCCACAGUGCUGGGGCCUCACAAGGAGCUCCCAUCCCCCCAAGACAUGAUCUGAUCCCCACCAUGGGCUGAUGCUGGAGCACUUAGCAAAGCAAACUGCAGCUGAAGUACCAGUCAGAGCUUUGUUCUUUACCCAAGUAAGUUCAGUCACCCUGGAAGCUCUGGCAUCCCUCUGGCUGGUGGUGGAUGGAUGUGGAACAGGUGGGUGGGUGAAUGGGCUGUGUUCCCUGAGGAUGCAGGGAGAAAUGAACCUCCUAAGCCUCUGUGCCACUAAGCAGCAAUGAAGGUGAGCUUGGCUCUAUUCACACUGUGCCAGCCCCUCCCACAAGAUAAAUCACAGCAUUUUUAUCACUGCACACCUCUGACUCCAGCUCUGAGCCAGCCCAGCACAUCUACUCACGUGCAUAUUCAUGGCUCUGAUGAGGAGCUGUAGCACAGGAGGACAAUUUGCUGCUGCCUUACACACACACCUGCAGCUGCCUGGGUGUUGCUCUCCAGGUGCAUGGAAUUAGCUGAACACACAAAGCAGGCUCCACCUGCCCACAGCAAUCCCCCCACACAUCCCUCUGCUGACCCCUGUCCCCUACACCAUCUUCUCCAUGGUGUCCUCCACGGUCCCCCCACACUAAGGCACUGCCACCACGGUGGCACACACAGAGUACUGCUGUGGCCUGGAGCAGUCCCAGCCUGCUGGCCAGACACAGGCAGUGAGGGACCAUCUGGCUACGGCAGGAUCAGCUCCUCCUCCGGCAGAGCCUGGUCCAGCACGUACGGCGAUGCUGCUGCCAGGUUUGGCACACGCUGGUGCAGUGCACAGGUCAGCUUGGGUGACUGUGCAGCCCUGCUGUCCCCUCCUGGGCGAUGCACAGCAGAGUGGGAGCCGCUUCCCAGCCUAAUGACGGGUCCACAGCGGGGCUGGGUGCUCCGCUCGCUCCCGGCAUCCGGGGCUGUGAGGGUCUGGUGGUCAUUUCCCAUGGCUCCAGGCAGAUGGAGCAGCAAGGGAGCUCUUGUGAGGGGAUUUGCCGACAGCAGAGGCACACACGCUCUGCCAAGGGCCUGGGAAAUGCGCGGUGCUUGAGGGGAACGUGCUGGAGCAGCACUGCCCUCCCCGCCCCGCAAAGCCUUUAAAAUAAACUUCUAUAAACAACUCCA
ensembl:lncRNA